GGGCCCGCACAAGCGGUGGAGCAUGUGGUUUAAUUCGAAGCAACGCGAAGAACCUUACCAGGUCUUGACAUCCCACUGACCGGCUUAGAGAUAGGCUUUUCCCUUCGGGGACAGUGGUGACAGGUGGUGCAUGGUUGUCGUCAGCUCGUGUCGUGAGAUGUUGGGUUAAGUCCCGCAACGAGCGCAACCCUUGAUCUUAGUUGCCAGCAUUCAGUUGGGCACUCUAAGGUGACUGCCGGUGACAAACCGGAGGAAGGUGGGGAUGACGUCAAAUCAUCAUGCCCCUUAUGACCUGGGCUACACACGUGCUACAAUGGACGAUACAAAGGGCUGCAAACCCGCGAGGGGGAGCCAAUCCCAUAAAAUCGUUCUCAGUUCGGAUUGUAGGCUGCAACUCGCCUACAUGAAGCCGGAAUCGCUAGUAAUCGUGGAUCAGCAUGCCACGGUGAAUACGUUCCCGGGCCUUGUACACACCGCCCGUCACACCACGAGAGUUUGUAACACCCGAAGUCGGUGAGGUAACCUUUACAGGAGCCAGCCGCCGAAGGUGGGACAGAUGAUUGGGGUG
rnacentral:rRNA from 1 species